GUGCCAGCAGCCGCGGUAAUACGGAGGGUGCGAGCGUUAAUCGGAAUUACUGGGCGUAAAGGGCGCGUAGGCGGUCGCGCAAGUCGGGUGUGAAAGCCCCGGGCUCAACCUGGGAAUUGCAUUCGAUACUGCGUAACUAGAGUCUGGUAGAGGGAAGCGGAAUUCCGCAUGUAGCGGUGAAAUGCGUAGAUAUGCGGAGGAACACCAGUGGCGAAGGCGGCUUCCUGGACCAAGACUGACGCUGAGGCGCGAAAGCGUGGGGAGCAAACAGGAUUAGAUACCCUGGUAGUCCACGCCCUAAACGAUGAGGACUAGACGUUGGGGGGAUAAAACCCUUUAGUGUCGCAGCUAACGCGUGAAGUCCUCCGCCUGGGGAGUACGGCCGCAAGGUUGAAACUCAAAUGAAUUGACGG
rnacentral:rRNA from 1 species